UACGGGGGGCGCAAGCGUUGUUCGGAUUUACUGGGCGUAAAGGGCGCGUAGGCGGCCACCGCAAGUCGACUGUGAAAUCUCCGGGCUUAACCCGGAAAGGUCAGCCGAUACUGCGGGGCUAGAGUGCAGAAGGGGCAACUGGAAUUCUCGGUGUAGCGGUGAAAUGCGUAGAUAUCGAGAGGAACACCUGCGGCGAAGGCGGGUUGCUGGGCUGACACUGACGCUGAAGCGCGAAAGCUAGGGGAGCGAACGGG
rnacentral:rRNA from 1 species